GUCAUCUCGUCGGGGUGCCUGAAUGAUCAGGCUGAGAGGUGACGUCCAACCCGUCGAACCUGAACCGGGUCAUGCCGGCGGAGGAAAUCGAGAUCUUGAGCGCG
rnacentral:ncRNA from 2 species